rnacentral:rRNA from 1 species
CAGCAGCCACGGGAAUACGGAGGGGGCUAGCGUUGUUCGGAAUUAUUGGGCGUAAAGGGAGCGCAGGCGGACAUAUAAGUCCAUCUUAAAAGCGCGGGGCUCAACCCCGUGAGGGGAUGGAAACUGUUUAACUUGAGUGCAAGAGGGGAGAGUGGAAUUCCAUGUGUAGCGGUGAAAUGCGUAGAUAUAUGGAGGAACACCGAUGGCGAAAGCGGCUCUCUGGCUUGUAACUGACGCUGAGGCUCGAAAGCGUGGGGCGCAAACAGGAUUAGAUACCCCAGUAGUCCCUGUCUCUUAUACA